rnacentral:rRNA from 1 species
AUUGAACGCUGGCGGCAGGCCUAACACAUGCAAGUCGAGCGGAUGAAGGGAGCUUGCUCCUGGAUUCAGCGGCGGACGGGUGAGUAAUGCCUAGGAAUCUGCCUGGUAGUGGGGGAUAACGUCCGGAAACGGGCGCUAAUACCGCAUACGUCCUGAGGGAGAAAGUGGGGGAUCUUCGGACCUCACGCUAUCAGAUGAGCCUAGGUCGGAUUAGCUAGUUGGUGGGGUAAAGGCCUACCAAGGCGACGAUCCGUAACUGGUCUGAGAGGAUGAUCAGUCACACUGGAACUGAGACACGGUCCAGACUCCUACGGGAGGCAGCAGUGGGGAAUAUUGGACAAUGGGCGAAAGCCUGAUCCAGCAAUGCCGCGUGUGUGAAGAAGGUGUUCGGAUUGUAAAGCACUUUAAGUUGGGAGGAAGGGCAGUAAGUUAAUACCUUGCUGUUUUGACGUUACCAACAGAAUAAGCACCGGCUAACUUCGUG